UCUGUCAUUUCUGUAGGCCAAUA
rnacentral:miRNA from 1 species